GACGUAGGGCGCGAGCGUUUGUCCGGAUUUAUUGGGCGUUAAAGAGCUCGUAGGCGGCUUGUCGCGUCGACUGUGAAAUCCCGCGGCUCAACCGCGGGUCUGCAGUCGAUACGGGCAGGCUAGAGUUCGGUAGGGGAGACUGGAAUUCCUGGUGUAGCGGUGAAAUGACGCAGAUAUCAGGAGGAACACCGGUGGGCGAAGGCGGGGUCUCUGGGCAACAACUGACGCUGGAGGAGCGAAAGCGUGGGGAGCAAACAGG
rnacentral:rRNA from 1 species